rnacentral:rRNA from 1 species
AACGUAGGAGACAAACGUUAUCCGGAUUUACUGGGCGUAAAGGGCGUGCAGGCGGUCUGUUAAGUCUGGCGUGAAAGCCCUCGGCUCAACCGAGGAAUUGCGCCCUAAACUGCCGUGCUUGAGGAACCUAGAGGUGAGCAGAACAGAUGGUGGAGCGGUGAAAUGCGUUGAUAUCAUCUGGAAUACCGGAGGCGAAGGCGGCUCACUGGGGGUUUUCUGACGCUGAGGAACGAAAGCCAGGGGAGCGAACGGG